rnacentral:rRNA from 1 species
UACGGGGGGAGCAAGCGUUGUUCGGAUUUACUGGGCGUAAAGGGCGCGUAGGCGGUCGUGACAAGUCACUUGUGAAAUCUCCGGGCUUAACUCGGAACGGUCAAGUGAUACUGUCGGACUAGAGUACAGAAGGGGCAACUGGAAUUCUCGGUGUAGCGGUGAAAUGCGUAGAUAUCGAGAGGAACACCUGAGGUGAAGACGGGUUGCUGGGCCGACACUGACGCUGACAGCGCGAAAGCCAGGGGAGCAAACGGG